rnacentral:tRNA from 1 species
GGGGGCGUAGUUUAAUAGGUAGAAUUAUGCUUUGCAAGUAUAAGGUUAUUGGUUCAAGUCCGAUUGUCUCCA